UUUUGAUCUCUACUUAUUUUUCCUCAAAAAAGGGGGAAAACUAUAUGAUCACUGUGUAUUAUAACAUAGAACGGAUGUAAAUUAAAACUUUGAGAAACAUAACUUUGCCUGUUCUUGUGAGUAAAACCAAUGUGGUUAAUAACUUCUCCUGUCUAGAAUGAUCUAUUUUAUACUUUCCCAGGAUCGUGUCACAGCAUAAAUGAGGAGCAUAAAGGGGCCAGGUAGCAUUGGCGUGAGAAGAAACAGGAGGCAAGUGACAACCGUGGGGCCUCUUCCACGAGAACACAUCUCUGACACUUCGAUCAAAUUUUAGGUUUACAGAAAAACGACCCGGAGUACGAAGUUCCUGGAUCCCGCCCCCUCCUGCAUAUCGUUUCUCCUCGUGUCGACAUCUCGCACCCGUCCGGUGUCUCUGUUGCGGCUCAGGAAUCGAUGCUGAUACGUUAUUGAGUCCGAAGUGGACAUGACAUUACGAUCUGCUCUCUGUGGUUUCGUGGUAUACGCUUCUGUGAGUUCCGACGAAGGCAAACUGUCACAGUACUUUACAGAGUAGUUUCACCGUCCUAAAGAUCCCUUUGCUUUAUCUAUUCACCUCCCGCCCUAUCCACUUCCUGCCCUCACGCCCCGGGGACCACGGGUCUUUUCGUGUCUCCAUAGCUUUGCCUUCUCCGAAUGUCAUAUGGCUGGAGUCAUGCAGUAUGCAGACUGGCAGAUGUGACAGUAUAAGCAUUAAGCUUGUAUUGCAUUUAGGAUUCUUCCGUGUCGUUUUGCGGCUUGAUAGCUUGUUUCUUUUCAUCGCUGAGUGAUAUUCCAUGGUAUGGUUGUACUACGGCGUGUUUAUCCUGUCUCCUGUUGAAGGAUAUCUUGGUUGCUAUCGCGUUUACGUAAUUAUGAAUAAAACUGCUAUAAACGUU